rnacentral:other from 1 species
GUUGUAGCUCCCUUUCUCAUUUUGUGGAGCUACAAU